rnacentral:rRNA from 1 species
CCUAAGGUAGCGAAAUUCCUUGUCGGGUAAGUUCCGACCUGCACGAAUGGCAUAAUAAUGGCCACACUGUCUCCUCCCGAGACUCAGUGAAAUUGAAAUGUUUGUGAUGAUGCAAUCUCCCCGCGGCUAGACGGAAAGACCCCAUGAACCUUAACUGUAGCUUUGCAUUGGACUUUGAACCGAUCUGUGUAGGAUAGGCGGGAGGCUUUGAAGAAUGGACGCCAGUUCAUUCGGAGCCGUCGUUGAAAUACCGCCCUGAUUUGUUUGAGGUUCUAACCUGGGCCAGUAAUCCUGGCUGGGGACCGUGCAUGGUGGGCAGUUUGACUGGGGCGGUCUCCUCCUAAAGGGUAACGGAGGAGUGCGAAGGUACGCUAAUCACGGUCGGAAAUCGUGAGGAUACUGCAAUGGGAAAAGCGUGCCUGACUGCGAGACAGACAAGUCGAGCAGAUGCGAAAGCAGGUCAUAGUGAUCCGGUGGCUUCUGUAUGGAAGGGCCAUCGCUCAACGGAUAAAAGGUACUCUGGGGAUAACAGGCUGAUACCGCCCAAGAGUUCAUAUCGACGGCGGUGUUUGGCACCUCGAUGUCGGCUCAUCUCAUCCUGGGGCUGUAGUCGGUCCCAAGGGUAUGGCUGUUCGCCAUUUAAAGAGGUACGUGAGCUGGGUUUAAAACGUCGUGAGACAGUUUGGUCCCUAUCUACCGCGGGCGCUGGAAGAUUGACAGGGGCUGCUCCUAGUACGAGAGGACCGGAGUGGACGCACCUCUGGUGUAUCGGUUGUGACGCCAGUCGCAUUGCCGAGUAGCUAUGUGCGGAAGAGAUAACCGCUGAAAGCAUCUAAGCGGGAAACUUGCCUGAAGAUUAGUCUUCCCGGAGGCUUGACCUCCCUGAAGGGUCGUCCGAGACCAGGACGUUGAUAGGCCAGGUGUGGAAGCGCUGUGAGGCGUGAAGCUAACUGGUACUAAUUGCCCGUGCGGCUUGAUCCU